GGAGGGUAUAUAGCUCAGUGGUAGAACGCAUGCCUGUUGUGUACGAGGUCCUGGGUUCAAUCCCCAGUGCCUCCA